GACGAACGCUGGCGGCGUGCCUAAUACAUGCAAGUAGGACGCAGUUGCGAACGGGUGAGUAACGCGUAGGUAACUGCCUAUUAGAGGGGGAUAACUAUUGGAAACGAUAGCUAAUACCGCAUACUAGUAGAUGGACCUGCGUUGUAUUGGCUAGUAGGUAGGGUAAUGGCUUACCUAGGCAACGAUACAUAGCCGACCUGGGAGGGUGAUCGGCCACACCUGGACUGGGACACGGCCCAGACUCCUACGGGAGGGAGCAGGAGGGGAUCUUCGGCAAUGGGGGGAACCCUGAACGAGCAACGGCGCGGGAGUGAAGAAGGUUUUCGGAUCGUAAAGCUCUGUUGUUAAGGAAGCGGUACUUAACGAGAAAGGGACGGCUAACUUCGUGCCAGCAGCCGCGGUAAUUC
rnacentral:rRNA from 1 species